UGGGGAAUAUUGCACAAUGGAGGGAACUCUGAUGCAGCGACGCCGCGUGAGUGAUGAAGGAAUUCGGUUCGUAAAACUCUGUUCUAUGGGAAGAAAAGGACUGUACCAUAGGAGAAAGCUCCGGCUAAAUACGUGCCAGCAGCCGCGGUAAUACGUAUGGAGCGAGCGUUGUCCGGAAUUAUUGGGCGUAAAGGGUGCGCAGGCGGCUUUACAAGUUGGAUGUGAAAUAUUGUGGCUCAACCACAAACGUGCAUCCAAAACUGCAAAGCUUGAGUUAAGGAGAGGUAAGUGGAAUUCCUGGUGUAGCGGUGGAAUGCGUAGAUAUCAGGAGGACUACCGGUGGCGAAGGCGACUUACUGGACUUAUCCUGACGCUCAGGCACGAAAGCGUGGGGAGCAAACAGG
rnacentral:rRNA from 1 species